UCCGGUUGAUCCUGCCGGACCCGACUGCUAUCAGAAUAGGACUAAGCCAUGCGAGUCAACGUAGCAAUACGUGGCAUACGGCUCAGUAACACGUAGUCAACAUGCCCAGGGGACGUGGAUAACCUCGGGAAACUGAGGAUAAACCGCGAUAGGUCAUAGUAUCUGGAAUGAUUUAUGGCUUAAAUCUAUAUGGCCCCUGGAUUGGACUGCGGCCGAUCAGGCUGUUGGUGAGGUAAUGGCCCACCAAACCUAAAACCGGUACGGGCUCUGAGAGGAGAAGCCCGGAGAUGGGCACUGAGACAAGGGCCCAGGCCCUAUGGGGCGCAGCAGGCGCGAAGACUCUGCAAUAAGCGAAAGCUUGACAGGGUUAUUCUGAGUGAUUUCCGCUAAGGAAAUCUUUUGGCACCUCUAAAAAUGGUGCAGAAUAAGGGGUGGGCAAGCCUGGUGUCAGCCGCCGCGGUAAUACCAGCACCCCGAGUGGUCGGGACGAUUAUUGGGCCUAAAGCAUCCGUAGCCGGUUCUACAAGUCUUCCGUUAAAUCCACCUGCUCAACAGUUGGGCUGCGGAGGAUACUAUAGAGCUAGGAGGCGGGAGAGGCAAGCGGUACUCAGUGGGUAGGGGUAAAAUCCGUUGAUCCAUUGAAGACCACCAGUGGCGAAGGCGGCUUGCCAGAACGCACUCGACGGUGAGGGAUGAAAGCUGGGGGAGCAAACCGGAUUAGAUACCCGGGUAGUCCCAGCUGUAAACGAUGCAGACUCGGUGAUGAAUAGGCUUCGUGCCUAUUCAGUGCCGCAGGGAAGCCGUUAAGUCUGCCGCCUGGGGAGUACGGUCGCAAGACUGAAACUUAAAGGAAUUGGCGGGGGAGCACCACAAGGGGUGAAGCCUGCGGUUCAAUUGGAGCAACGCCGGAAAUCUUACCGGGGGCGACAGCAGAAUGAAGGUCAAGCUGAAGACUUUACCAGACAAGCUGAGAGGAGGUGCAUGGCCGUCGCCAGCUCGUGCCGUGAGGUGUCCUGUUAAGUCAGGUAACGAGCGAGAUCCCUGCCUCUAGUUGCUACCAUUGCUCUCAGGAGUAGUGGGGCUAAUUAGAGGGACUGCCGUCGCUGAGACGGAGGAAGGAGGGGGCUACGGCAGGUCAGUAUGCCCCGAAACCCUCGGGCCACACGCGGGCUGCAAUGGUAAGGACAAUAAGUUCCUAUUCCGAAAGGAGGAGGUAAUCUCCAAACCUUACCUCAGUUAUGAUUGAGGGCUGAAACUCGCCCUCAUGAAUAUGGAAUCCCUAGUAACCGCGUGUCAUUAUCGCGCGGUGAAUACGUCCCUGCUCCUCGCACACACCGCCCGUCGCUUCAUCGAAGUUGGUUCUUGGCGAGGUUGUGUCUCAUUGGCACUAUCGAACCUGGGGUCAGCAACGAGGGAG
rnacentral:rRNA from 1 species